AUUGAACGCUGGCGGCAGGCCUAACACAUGUAAGUCGAACGAGUGGCGGACGGGUGAGUAAUGUCUGGGAAACUGCCUGAUGGAGGGGGAUAACUACUGGAAACGGUAGCUAAUACCGCAUACCAUCAUAUGUUCCCAGAUGGGAUGAGCUUGUUGGUGGGGUAACGUCUCACAAAGGAGACGAUCCCUAGCUGGUCUGAGAGGAGGACCAGCCACACUGGAACUGAGACACGGUCAAGAUUCCUACGGGAGGCAGCAGUGGGGAAUAUUGCACAAUGGGCGCAAGCCUGAUGCAGCCAUGCGGGGUGUAUGAAGAAGGCCUUCGGGUUGUAAAGUCCUUUCAGCGGGGAGGCGUUACCCGCAGAAGAAGCACCGGCUAACUCCGUGCCAGCAGCCGCGGUAAUAC
rnacentral:rRNA from 1 species